rnacentral:lncRNA from 1 species
GGGUGUCUAGAUCACUUUUUUUUUUAAAAAAAAAACUGAUUGGGCCCAAACCCAAGUGGCCAAGGGUGUGAGAACGAAAUGGGGGUGCUGAAAGGAAUGUUUCUUGUUACCUAUGAAUGGGCUCAAGCCCAUUGCACAUGUGGCGUCAAUUAGGAGAAACGGGGGUAGCGAAAGAAAGCUUUUGCUUUUGAGUUUGGCCCGACGGCCCACGAUCCCCCCAAUUCAGAAAAUCAGGGGUUCUCACUUAUCUCCCUCAUUUCCCACUCACACACCUCAGCGUUUCUGAGACUCAAGUCUCACUCCCUUCGAGCCAGACCAGGGUUGCCUCCUAGGAACGCCUCAGGCUGCCACUAUCUGACCAGCCAGUUCUCGUCCAGUCAGUUCCAGGCGUUACCAGCGACUCCAAGCGUCACCGGAGCUGCUGCCGGCCACGGGGUCAGACCCUUUCCCCAAACUCAUCACCGCGCGCGAGAGGGAGACGUCCUCACCUUCCGUGAUUCGUCUCUGCUGCCGCUGCUCAUCUCCGACAGCCACCGCUACGGCCUCACCGCAUCGCAGCCAUCGACACCGGUACCAAGCGCGCCUCUUUCGCGCAACAGAGAAACACCACCUAAAUCGUCAACCCUCAUUCUUCUUCUUUGAAACUAAAAGUCACCGCAGCCAGAGAAGCAGGAUGUCGCCGCCACAGGAAUGCCCCCAAGCCCUAAGAUCGCGUCGCCACCCAAAUCAUCGACUUCCAUAGCUGUCGCGAUGAUGCCGACGUCCUCUCCAUCACCGCAACACCCCACAAAUUAAACCCUCUCCGACCUACCUUCUCCGUUCCACCACGACCUCCAAAUACUCCACGCCACUUUACCUUCGUCCUCAAAUUGGCCACCCAAGGAGGUAAAAUUGCUUGGUAGUGAUUUGGAGUUUGAUUGUGUGCGUGUUACCCCUGCAAAAUCUGGACAGCGAAGGUGUAGGGAGGAGAACAAUGAAUUUGAGUGUCUUACUGCCAAGACCAAUGGGGAAGGGGUGAGGGGUUUGGGUUGGAAUAUUGGCUGGUUCUUUGUUUGCUUUCUUUUUAAAUGCAGGACCUAUGAGCAGGGCGUGACAAGAAUGGUGAAAAUGGGGAUGCUUAAUAGUAUAACGAUUUUGAUGGCGAAGAGAAAUCAAGGAAUGAAUACGGGAUGGUGUUGGUGAUGUUGGGUAAGGGUGGUCAUUGAGAAUGAAGAAUGAAGGGUUCGUACAUAUGUAGAGCAAUAACCUCAAGCAAGUACAACACGCAGUUCAUAAUACAAUAAUUCAUAAUACAGCAAGCAUUAAAUGUGACAGUAUGAGCGAGGGAGGGAGUUACUUUCCUCUCGGGGGCCCUUUCCAGUGGCUGCUGCGACAGAAAGAGUGAAGUUGAUGUCGGCGUUAGAAUCUCUAUAAAAC